rnacentral:rRNA from 1 species
AUUGAAGCCUAGCGAUAUGUAAGUUAGUGGCGGACGGGUGAGUAACGCGUGGGUAACCUGCCUUGUACUGGGGGACAACAGUUGGAAACGACUGCUAAUACCGCAUAAGCGCACAGGAUUGCAUGAUCCGGUGUGAAAAACUCCGGUGGUAUGAGAUGGACCCGCGUCUGAUUAGCUUGUUGGCAGGGUAACGGCCUACCAAGGCAACGAUCAGUAGCCGACCUGAGAGGGUGACCGGCCACAUUGGGACUGAGACACGGCCCAGACUCC